rnacentral:rRNA from 1 species
AGUUGGUGGAGUGAUUUGUCUGGUUAAUUCCGUUAACGAACGAGACCUCGACCUGCUAAAUAGCUCAGCGAAUUCUUCGGGAUUCGACUGAUUUGCUUCUUAGAGGGACUUUGGGUGCGUAGCCUAAGGAAGUUCGAGGCAAUAACAGGUCU